rnacentral:rRNA from 1 species
AUGGGGUCACGAGAACCUUCUGAUCAAAGAGAGGCCACCAAAGAGCACAAGUGGUGGUGCGCUAUGGAAGAGGAGCCUGAGUCGAUCAGGAGUAACAACACUUGGCAGCUCACCACACUUCCACCCGGACAGAAAGCUAUAGGCCUCAAAUGGGUUUAUAAACUGAAGAAGGAUCCAGCUGGAAGGGUUGUUAAGUACUACAAAGCACGCCUAGUAGAGAAGGGAUGUGUGCAACAUCCAGGGAUUGAUUUUGAGGAAGUUUUUGCGCCAGUUGCAAGACUCAAGAUAGUGUGUUUUCUGAUAGCACUAGCAGCGCAAGAGAAGUGGGAGCUUCACCAUCUGAAUGUCAAGUCUGCAUUUUUAAACGGCGAUCUUUACGAGGAGGUGUAUGUGACUCAGCCACCUGGGUAG